rnacentral:rRNA from 1 species
UGAUGGCUGUCGUCAGCUCGUGUCGUGAGAUGUUGGGUUAAGUCCCGCAACGAGCGCAACCCUUGUCAUUAGUUGCUACAUUCAGUUGGGCACUCUAAUGAGACUGCCGGUGACAAACCGGAGGAAGGUGGGGAUGACGUCAAGUCCUCAUGGCCCUUAUAGGUGGGGCUACACACGUCAUACAAUGGCUGGUACAAAGGGUUGCCAACCCGCGAGGGGGAGCUAAUCCCAUAAAACCAGUCGUAGUCCGGAUCGCAGUCUGCAACUCGACUGCGUGAAGUCGGAAUCGCUAGUAAUCGUGGAUCAGAAUGUCACGGUGAAUACGUUCCCGGGUCUUGUACACACCGCCCGUCACACCAUGGGAGCGGGUUCUGCCAGAAGUAGUUAGCUUAACCGCAAGGAGGGCGAUACUCACGCCACCCCUC